CCGGCGCACGGGUGAGUAACACGUAUCCAACCUGCCGUCUACUCUUGGCCAGCCUUCUGAAGGAAGAUUAAUCCAGGAUGGGAUCAUGAGUUCACAUGUCCGCAUGAUUAAAGGUAUUUCCGGUAGACGAUGGGGAUGCGUUCCAUUAGAUAGUAGGCGGGGUAACGGCCCACCUAGUCUACGAUGGAUAGGGGUUCUGAGAGGAAGGUCCCCCACAUUGGAACUGAGACACGGUCCAA
rnacentral:rRNA from 1 species